rnacentral:rRNA from 1 species
UUCCAGCUCCAAUAGCGUAUAUUGAAGUUGUUGCAGUUAAAAAGCUCGUAGUUGAACCUUGGACAAGGUGCUCGUGGUCUACCGCAAGGUACGACUGCGGCAAUGCGUCUCUUUAGGGGGACUCGAUGCUUCGGUGUCGAGGUAACCCGUGUUACUGUGAAGAAAUUAGAGUGUUUAAAGCAGGCUAUCGCUUGAAUACAUCAGCAUGGAAUAACAAGUUGGACUUUGCUCCUACUUGUUGGUUUGAGGGGAAAAGUAAUGAUUAAUAGGGCCAGUUGGGGGCAUUAGUAUUCAGUAGUCAGAGGUGAAAUUCUUGGAUUUACUGAAGACUAACUAGUGCGAAAGCAUUUGCCAAGGAUGUUUUCAUUAAUCAAGAACGAAAGUUAGGGGAUCGAAGACGAUCAGAUACCGUCGUAGUCUUAACUAUAAACGAUGCCGACUAAGGAUCGGCAGAAGUCGUUUGCGACUCUGUCGGCACUUUGUGAGAAAUCAAAGUUUUUGGGUUCUGGGGGGAGUAUGGUCGCAAGGCUGAAACUUAAAGGAAUUGACGGAAGGGCACCACCAGGAGUGGAGCCUGCGGCUUAAUUCGACUCAACA